UUGCAGGUUAGAGUAAUUGGUAACUUGCUAGGCUCAUGCCCUAGAGAUUUAGGUUCAAGUCCUAAGCCUGCAAU
rnacentral:tRNA from 1 species